rnacentral:tRNA from 1 species
GCCAGAGUGGUGAAAUUGGUAUACACGCUAGGCUUAGGACCUAGUUCUCGUCAUGCGGGAUUGUGGGUUCGAAUCCCACCUCUGGCACUA